UGCCAGCCGCCGCGGUAAUACGGGGGGAGCAAGCGUUGUUCGGAGUUAUUGGGCGUAAAGGGCGUACAGGCGGCGGUGCAAGUCAGAUGUGAAAUCCACCGGCUCAACCGGUGAUCUGCAUUUGAAACUGCAUUGCUUGAGUACAGGAGAGGAGAGCGGAAUUCUCGGUGUAGCGGUGGAAUGUGUAGAUAUCGGGAAGAACACCAGUGGCGAAGGCGGCUCUCUGGCCUGAUACUGACGCUGACGCGCGAAAGCUAGGGGAGCAAACAGGAUUAGAUA
rnacentral:rRNA from 1 species